CAAUAGCGUAUAUUUAAGUUGUUGCAGUUAAAAAGCUCGUAGUUGGAUUUCGGGUGGGACGCAGCGGUCUCGCAUUGCGUUUGUACUGCUGCAGCCCUCCUUCUUGCCGGGGGCGGCCUCUCGGACUUCACUGUCUGGGGGUCAGAAUCGGCGAUGUUACUUUGAGUAAAUUAGAGUGUUCAAAGCAAGCUUACGCUCUGAAUAUAAUAGCAUGGGAUAACACGACAGGACUCUGGCCUAUCGUGUUGGUCUAUAGGACCAGAGUAAUGAUUAAGAGGGACAGUCGGGGGCAUUCGUAUUCCGUUGUCAGAGGUGAAAUUCUUGGAUUUACGGAAGACGAACACCUGCGAAAGCAUUUGCCAAGGAUGUUUUCAUUGA
rnacentral:rRNA from 1 species